GGACUACACGGGUUUCUAAUCCCGUUCGCUCCCCAUGCUGUCGUGUCUGAGCGUCAGGGGGGUGCCAGGGCACCGCCUUCGCCUCUGGGGUUCCUCCGGAUCUCUACGCAUUUCACCACUACACCCGGAAUUCCAUGCCCCUCUCACCCCCUCUAGUCCUACAGUCUGGCAUAACCCCGCCCGGUUGAGCCCGGCGAUUUCAUACACCACUUAUAAGACCGCCUGCACACGCUUUACACCCAGUAAAUCCGGAUAACGCUCGCCACCUACGUUUUACCGCGGCUGCUGGCAC
rnacentral:rRNA from 1 species